rnacentral:rRNA from 1 species
UACAGAGGGGGCAAGCGUUGUUCGGAAUUAUUGGGCGUAAAGGGCGCGUAGGCGGUGCGGUAAGUCACUUGUGAAAUCUCUGGGCUCAACUCAGAGUCUGCAAGCGAAACUGCCGUGCUUGAGUGUGGGAGAGGGAUGCGGAAUUCCAGGUGUAGCGGUGAAAUGCGUAGAUAUCUGGAGGAACACCGGUGGCGAAGGCGGCAUCCUGGACCGGCAUUGACGCUGAGGAGCGAAAGCCAGGGGAGCAAACGGG